rnacentral:misc_RNA from 1 species
AAGUCGUAACAAGGUUUCCGUAGGUGAACCUGCGGAAGGAUCAUUAACACGUAUCCAACGUUAAACCGAAUGGCGCAGUCACGAUCGGACACGGCCGACUACCGGGUCACUGGGCGCGAGCCCCCCUCGUCACCUUUGCAUGAAAACGGGCCUGCGCUUAAUUGUGCGGCCACCAAACUCGAACAACUGUUAACAAUGGAUAUCUUGGUUCUC